UUAAAGUUUUAUUUUAGCUUAAAUAUUUAUUAUUAAUAUAAUUUAUAUACAAGUUUUUGCAUGAAUUUUUUAUUAUUUUAAUAAUAAUAAAAUUUUAACUAAUUGUAGUAAUUAAUAUUAUUCAUUAAAGAAAUUUAGAAAUAGUAAUAUUAAAUAAUAUUGACUAAAUUUGUGCCAGCAGUCGCGGUUAAACAAAAGAUAUAAAUAAAUAUUUUUAGUUUGGAGUUAAAUGAUUUAUAUAAAUUAAAAUUAAUUUUAUUAAGUGAAAUUUUAAAAUUAUACAAAUUUAUAUUUGAAUAAUUGAAGCUUAGAAAUUUAAAUAAUAAACUAGGAUUAGAUACCCUAUUAUUUUAAAUGUAAUUUUAAAAACUUGAGUAGUAAUAGUUAUAUUCUUUAAACUUAAAAAAUUUGGCGGUAUUUUAGUCUAUUCAGAGGAACCUGUUUUUUAAUCGAUAUUCCACGUUGGACCUUACUUAAUUUUAUUAAUUAGUUUGUAUACCGUCGUUAUAGAAAAUUUUAUAAGAAAAAUAAUUUUCAAUAAAUUUAAUUAAAUUUAAUAUCAGAUCAAGGUGCAGCAUAUAAUUAAGAUAAUAAUGGGUUACAAUAAAUUUAUUUAUAUGGAAAUAAAUAUGCAAAAUUUAUGGAAGGUGGAUUUGAAAGUAAAAUUAUAAAGAUUAGUAAUUUGAUUUUAGCUCUAAAAUAUGUACAUAUCGCCCGUCGCUCUUAUUUAUUAAGAUAAGAUAAGUCGUAACAUAGUAGAUGUAUUGGAAAAUGUAUCUAGAUUCAA
rnacentral:ncRNA from 1 species